GGAAUAUUGGACAAUGGGCGAAAGCCUGAUCCAGCAAUGCCGCGUGAGUGAUGAAGGCCUUAGGGUUGUAAAGCUCUUUUACCCGGGAUGAUCAUGACAGUACCGGGAGAAUAAGCCCCGGCUAACUCCGUGCCAGCAGCCGCGGUAAUACGGAGGGGGCUAGCGUUGUUCGGAAUUACUGGGCGUAAAGCGCACGUAGGCGGCUUUGUAAGUUAGAGGUGAAAGCCCGGAGCUCAACUCCGGAACUGCCUUUAAGACUGCAUCGCUUGAAUCAUGGAGAGGUUAGUGGAAUUCCGAGUGUAGAGGUGAAAUUCGUAGAUAUUCGGAAGAACACCAGUGGCGAAGGCGACUAACUGGACAUGUAUUGACGCUGAGGUGCGAAAGCAUGGGUAGCGAA
rnacentral:rRNA from 1 species